UACGUAGGGGGCAAGCGUUAUCCGGAUUUAUUGGGUUUAAAGGGUGCGUAGGCGGUUUGAUAAGUUAGAGGUGAAAUGUCGGGGCUCAACCCCGAAACUGCCUCUAAUACUGUUGGACUAGAGAAUAGUUGCGGUAGGCGGAAUGUAUGGUGUAGCGGUGAAAUGCAUAGAUAUCACGCAGAACUCCGAUCGCGAAGGCAGCCUACCGGCGCGCAACUGACGCUCAUGCACGAAAGCGUGGGUAUCGAACAGG
rnacentral:rRNA from 1 species